UACAGAGGGUGCUAGCGUUAAUCGGAAUUACUGGGCGUAAAGGGUGUGUAGGUGGUUCAAGUAAGUCAGAUGUAAAAACCCCGGGCUUAACCUGGGAAUGUCGUUUGAUACUGCUUAGCUAGAGUACUAUAGAGGACAGUGGAAUUUCCAGUGUAGCGGUGAAAUGCGUAGAUAUUGGAAGGAACACCAGUGGCGAAGGCGACUGUCUGGAUAGAAACUGACACUGAGACACGAAAGCAUGGGUAGCAAACAGG
rnacentral:rRNA from 1 species